rnacentral:rRNA from 1 species
GUGGUUAGAAUGCGUUGGAAUGCGCAACCAAAGUGGGUGAUAGUCCCGUAUAAGAAGCAUGAUUGGACGUAUUAAGUAGGGCGGAACACGUGAAAUUCUGUCUGAAGAUCGGAGGACCACCUUCGAAGGCUAAGUACUCCUUACUGACCGAUAGUGAACCAGUACCGUGAGGGAAAGGUGAAAAGCACCCCGACGAGGGGAGUGAAACAGUACCUGAAACCGAACGCCUACAAUCAGUUGGAGGGUCUUUACGGCCUGACAGCGUACCUUUUGUAUAAUGGGUCAUCGACUUGGUCUCACAAGCAAGCUUAAGCCGUUAGGUGUAGGCGUAGCGAAAGCGAGUCUUAAUAGGGCGUUGAGUUUGUGGGAUCAGACCCGAAACCGAGUGAUCUAGGCAUGGCCAGGUUGAAGAUAAGGUAACACUUAUUGGAGGACCGAACCCACAUCCGUUGAAAAGGAUCGGGAUGAGCUGUGCCUAGGGGUGAAAGGCCAAUCAAACUCGGAGAUAGCUGGUUCUCUGCGAAAUCUAUUUAGGUAGAGCGUCAUCCGAAUACCCUCGGGGGUAGAGCACUGGAUGGGUAAUGGGGCCCCACAGGCUUACUGAUCCUAACCAAACUCCGAAUACCGAGGAGUACUAGAUGGCAGACACACAGCGGAUGCUAACGUCCGUUGUGAAGAGGGAAACAACCCUGACCUACAGCUAAGGCCCCUAAUUCAUGGCUAAGUGGGAAAGCAGGUGAGACGACCAAAACAACCAGGAGGUUGGCUUAGAAGCAGCCAUCCUUUAAAGAUAGCGUAACAGCUCACUGGUCUAAAUAAGUUGUCUUGCGGCGAAGAUGUAACGGGGCUCAAGCCAUGAGCCGAAGCUUAGGAUGCAUUAAUUGCAUGGUAGCAGAGCGUAGUGUGACAUAGUUCCAUGUCUCCUUAGCCCUUCGGGGUAUUGGAGACGCGGAGCUUUCUGUGAAGCCGGCGCGUGAGCGAUCCGGUGGAGAGAUCACUAGUGAGAAUGAUGACAUGAGUAGCGACAAAGAGUGUGAGAGACACUCUCGCCGAAAAUCCAAGGGUUCCUGCUUAAAGCUAAUCUGAGCAGGGUAAGCCGACCCCUAAGGCGAGGCCGAAAGGCGUAGUCGAUGGGAACCAGGUUAAUAUUCCUGGGCCAGAUGGAAGUGACGGAUCUCGAGGGUAGUUCAUCCUUAUCGGAUUGAAUGGGCUGCUUAGAGGUCCCUGGAAAUAGCUCCAUCGCUAGAUCGUACCCUAAACCGACACAGGUGGAUAGGUAGAGAAUACCAAGGCGCUUGAGAGAACUAUGUUGAAGGAACUCGGCAAAAUACCUCCGUAAGUUCGCGAGAAGGAGGCCCGGUUCCUAGGCAACUAGGGGCUGGGGGCACAAACCAGGGGGUGGCGACUGUUUAUUAAAAACACAGGGCUCUGCGAAGUCGUAAGACGACGUAUAGGGUCUGACGCCUGCCCGGUGCCUGAAGGUUAAAAGGAGGAGUGAGAGCUCUGAAUUGAAGCCCAGGUAAACGGCGGCCGUAACUAUAACGGUCCUAAGGUAGCGAAAUUCCUUGUCGGG